rnacentral:rRNA from 1 species
GAUGAACGCUGGCGGCGUGCUUAACACAUGCAAGUCGAACGGUGAACACGGAGCUUGCUCUGUGGGAUCAGUGGCGAACGGGUGAGUAACACGUGAGCAACCUGCCCCUGACUCUGGGAUAAGCGCUGGAACGGCGUCUAAUACUGGAUAUGUGACGUGACCGCAUGGUCUGCGUUUGGAAAGAUUUUUCGGUUGGGGAUGGGCUCGCGGCCUAUCAGCUUGUUGGUGAGGUAAUGGCUCACCAAGGCGUCGACGGGUAGCCGGCCUGAGAGGGUGACCGGCCACACUGGGACUGAGACACGGCCCAGACUCCUACGGGAGGCAGCAGUGGGGAAUAUUGCACAAUGGGCGCAAGCCUGAUGCAGCAACGCCGCGUGAGGGAUGACGGCCUUCGGGUUGUAAACCUCCUUUAGCAGGGAAGAAGCGAAAGUGACGGUACCUGCAGAAAAAGCGCCGGCUAACUACGUG